UUGGUAUGGUUGUUGACAUUGGGAGCCGAGUUAAAUCUCAGGGAUGCUGUAUGUAUAGGGGAGAUGCUGCCCAAAUUUCUGUAGAUAAGUAUGAGUUAAGAUUGAAUUCUUAAAGGCUUGUAAUUGAUAUUUGGUAAUUGUGACCAAUUGUAGAUUUUGGAGGAAACGGGAAUUGAGUUUGGAGAGACGUAAGGAGCGAAUAAGGUAUAGACGACCGAUUUGCUGAUCCGCCCGCCUAGGAUCUUAUUUUGUUGUCUUGGAGUGCUCCUUUGUCCGGAGCCUAUAUUUUGGUACAGACUUUUUCUAUUGUACAUAUAUGUAUGUUAUUCAGGGGUAUGACGGGGCCCUGUCCCGUCUUAUGAUUCUGUUAUUAUCCGUAGAGGUCUGUAGACAUACAUGUGGGUUGUGUUUAUAUGUUUGGGGUUGAUAUGUUCUGUGACAGCCUUAUCGGCUUCCACGCGCUA